rnacentral:RNase_P_RNA from 1 species
UGAGCAGGCCGAACGAUUGCGGGCGAUACCCGAAAGAGAACGUCUGAGGAAAGUCCGAGCUCCACAGGGCAGGAAUAACGGCUAACGGCCGCCGGGGGCGACCCCAGGGACAGUGCAACAGAGAUAUACCGCCGAUUUAUCGGUAAGGGUGGAAAGGCGAGGUAAGAGCUCACCGGCUCAUUGGAAACUUUGAGGCCAUGUAAACCCUAUUCGGAGCAACACCGCGGAGGAACAUUAGGCUUGCCCGGCCGUUCCGUGGGGGUGGCAUGAUCCGUAUGGCAACGUACGGACUAGAUAGAUGAUCGUUUAAGACAGAACUCGGCUUACAGACUUGGUCACAUU